GGGGCGGCUGGGAGCGGGGAGCUGCGUGCCGCAAGUUUUGCCCGGAGUGCCAAAGUUGGGCUCGGCUCAGGUUCUUGGAAACUUGAGGAGCAAUCUUCAGUCCCUGAAGAAUGCAGUUCUCACCGGAUGUGUGUAUCCUACAUUAAAGAGAACAGAAGCAGGAUCAGCUGGUGUCCAGGAAAGACAACUUCAGGAGAUUCGGGAGCACUCUGGAGUGAACCAGGAGGAAGCCUUGAACUACAGUUGUGUCAAUAAGAGUGGCUGUCCUUGGGAGAUGCUGAAGCUCAGCUUUAUGAUGGACUUAUCUUUUGCCUCUCAACAUGUGCACAAAGGACUGAAUUUUGUUUGGGAUUCAUAUGGUAUGAAAGAGUCAUGGCUGUAUGGUUUCUUCCUCCUUUCACUUAAGUCUGUACGUUUCCUGCAGUCAGUAAUGAAGUCUGUACAAGGUCUGCUGACAUUUGGUCUGCUUUCAAGAGCUCUGAGUGACAGGUACUGUAAACAUCCUACACUCUCAGCUGUGGAAACUAAGAAAGCUGGGAGAAGGCUGUUUACUCUCCCUGCCUUGGAAAUCAUCUGGAGGGUGAGGAUGGAACAUUGUGAGCUGUGUGUUCAUUGUAUUUCUGACAGCCUGUAUUUCUUAUUUUAUGUUUGGUGUCAGUAAACAAAUAAUAGCAUUAUAUCAUGCCAUCAGGCUCUUGCAUUCUGACUAAGGCUUGAACUCAUAAUAAUAACUUAAAAAAGGUCCUUCUUUACAAUGUACUUACUUGCAGUCCUGGCUUGAUGGAAACUAAUGAUAGCAGUAACAUGCAACAAGGCCUUCAUCCUUAAAUACUGGGUAAAGCAGACCUAUUUUACUGUUUGUUCACAAGUUAGUGUGCAUGUUUUCAGGUUCACACGUCAAUGGUGUAUUUUGUUCAAGUCUUCCUUAAAUGUUUGGAUCUUGUGUUCACUCAAUUUGUUUUCCUACCUAGAGGGACUAGAAACAGAUGUCUGAAGGCAAAAAAAAAGAGUUCUAGGGGAUUUCAAGUUUCUGUUCCUAUUUGAAGAAAUUGAGAUAUCAACCCCAAUUAGCUCUAUUUAGAAAUAAACUGAAUUAAAUAUGCAGAAGUAUUUAGCUUGGAUUUUAUACUGGCUCUUCUGUGCCACUUGCCAUCCAGACUGAAUUAUUUGUUGUACUUUUCUUGGCAAUUUUUCUUCCUUUUCUUGUUUCUUUGUAUUUCCCAUUAGUUAAGUAGGGCUUCUCAUUUUAAAUGCAGAAUAACUUUUUUCUUGAAUUUUAAAUCUAAAAUCCUACUGGCAUGGUCUAUAUCCUCAUAAAAUGUACUUUUACAGCUAUUCUUAAGCUGUGAUGUUGGCAGAAACGCAAUGAUUUGUGCACUUUUUUAAAAUUUAUUGGAGAGGGGCAUCUUUUGUGCUUUUGAAGAAGUUUUUCAUAAUGCAGUUAAAUUCAAAGAUAACCUUUUUUGCUCUAUCAUCAUAUUUAAAUAUCUGCUACUUUAGAUUUUUAGUAAAGGUAUUUAAAGAAAAAGCUCUGAUAUGAGAUGUCCUAAAGGUUUUAAAUAAUUUGGGAAGUGAUGAAAAUGUAGAGAGAACAGCAGAAUGGUAGAUCUAGUAAGGUUUUGAAAUAGUACUUCUACAAAGUGGUCAAAAAAAGGAAUUUGAGCAGGCAGAUCUCUAAAGAAAAAAAGGGGGAAAAAGUCCAUGUUUUGAAGCAGUAAUUAUUUAGGAAAAGGAAAUGGAGGGGAAAAAAACACAGGGUUCAGUAAAGUACUAUAGACAGGAUUUAAGAUGAUGAGAUGAUGUCUGACUGUACAUAAGCACCAGUUCUUCAGGUUUAUGAGAUUUUGGCUCUUGAUAUGUCUAGCGAUACUAGAAGUGAGGUCAGUCUUAUAAAAAUAUGGUUUUGUGGAGAAAUAAGCUGUUGAGAGUAGUGAAACGAUAGAGGGUAGCAUUUCCUAACAGACAUGGUUCCCUUGGCAGAGAUCUCCAAGAGUGAUGGAGCACAGAAUUCUAUCCUCAUCGUAAUCGAUAAUUCUGAUUGUAGGCUGUGCUGUUGAGAUCAGACAGUUUCUUGAAAGGAGGCAUCAGCUUUAAUGUGUUUUACUGUUUUUUAUUUUUAAUUUAGAUUUGCUUUAGGCUAGGAACUGUUAUUUUCUGUCAAAUAGAAAAAAAAACUUUGUUUAACGUUAUCUAUUUGUUGUCUAAUGAUGAAAUUCCAUCUUUGAUUUUAUCUGUGUAAGUUGGGACUGUUGAAGCUUUUCUCAUACAUUUUUCCUUGGCCAUUCUUUCCUAUGUCUUCACUUGUGCUGGUAUUCAUGUUUGCUUAAACUGUGAGCUUAGUUCAGUGGCUUGACUCAGCUGAAAAUUAAACAAGCAAACCAGCUUUUAUUUGGACCAUAUGAGAUAACAGCUUACUGCACUACUGUGAUGCUGUGGCCAAAAUGCUAGUACCUUCAAAUAUGAUCACCUUUCUAAAGGGCCAGAACAGCUUUUCCUGUAAAUAAGACCAUCAAAUCCUAAUGCAAUAAGCGGGUGAAAAUAAAGGGUUUUAAUUUUACAUGGUUUUUGUAUUUGGCAGUAGAUUGUUCUAUUGAUGCUGUUUGAAAGCGAUUGCCAGCAUAGUGCGGAAAUAAAUUCAGAUUAAAUUAUCGUGAUUAAAGCUUUUGAUUUCUUGACAGCUAUUUAUGCUUCUGUGUCUUUGAAAGAUUUGUUUAUAAAGUGUAAUAAAAUAAUUGUGUUGGUAAUGAGGAGCUACUGGCAAUUUUGCUGCCUCCAGAUCUUUAAUUGUAAAGGUAUCCUUGGAUAUAUUUGCACCAGACAAAGCACUGUGUAAAUUGUAUUAUUUCUGGAUCACGUUUUGCUUUUUUUCCACAGGUAUCACUUGCCAAGCCAAAGGCAAGCUAAGUAUUCUUUUCUAGCACGAAACUCAGAUUUCAAGGAGUUUAAGAUUCUUUCCAAUCAACGAAAUAUAGAACUUCCUAUUGUGAAAGAACAUACAUGGCUUUUUCAAAACUCUAUUGCCAGUAAUGAGUUUUGGAUUGGGUCCUUAGAGAGGAGGAAAUAGUUCUGUUCCUGCUGCAGUUAAUAGGAAGUUCUUGUUGCUGCCUCCAUCCUGUUCUUGAGGUGCUGAAAUAAUACGGCAGAGCGAGGGACAGUGAUCCUGGCUUUGGAGAGAACCUUUGCACUUUGUUUUCUCUUUUGUGAAAGAUAAUGAUGCUUUCUCUCAAGGUGGGUGUGGUAAAACAAAACACAGAAAUCUUUUUGUGCUGAAACGUCUUGCUUAAAAUUGUAUCGUUUUGUCCUAGUUUGUCUUGUUAUGUUCCAGCCUUUCACUACGGUCUAGAGAGAAUGCAGUGCUUGAUUGUAUUACUGGGGAAAAAGCAAAGGACCUGACACCAGGUUAUCAUAUGUGUUGGUAAAGGCUCAUUCUUGUGCUGCUGGCACGUUGACCUCUUACCAGGUCCAUGUUGGAGUGCAGCUCCUCUUCUAGUGAUAGUUCUGAGUGCGUACAUACAGGGCAGCCUGAGUUUGUCAUACUUAAGUCACUGGGGCUGCGCCCCAUCAACUGCAGCUUAGAUGUCAGCUCCAAGCUAGCCUCACCCCACUUGCUGACAUCCUGAGCAUGCUCUCAGACUGGGGUAGGGUUCAGGCCACCCUGCUGCAUUAUUGAGGUCAGCAGGACUAAACUCAGCACUAUUACCAGCUGAGGACUUCUGGACCUUGUGUCUUUUGAGGCCUUCCUCAAGUUGUUUCUUAGUAUCCCAAAGCACCACUGAAGAAAUACUGCUAAAACAACUCUGCACCAGUGGAGCAGUGAUGUUGAUGUAGACAAACGAAAUAACUUAAGGAUCUGCAAAAUUCCUGUUCCUUAGAUGCCUCAGUGGAACUAUAAACUUCAUGAAUAGUUGAGUUUUGUGCAACUUGUCCAGCUUGCAGAUAUUUUUGGUGAGGAUGUUGAGAGGCCAUAAUCUCAUGCUUAGUUGAUGCAGUACAGGUGAAAUGCACACACUGACAGAUUUUCCUUCUCCUUGGUGCUUUCCACACUUACUGCUUUGACAUUAAUGGAGCUUCUAAUUAAGAUCUCACAGCUUCAAUUCAUGCAAUUGAUGAAAUGCUCCAAUAUACUCUAUGUGUAGAUUGCAUAGAAAGGCACAUCAAAUCUAAAUGGAAACAGCUCGUAUCACCUUGGGGUAAUUGCAUGUAGCGUGCAGCCACUGAAAUUAGAUGUGACAAAAGCAGUUGUCUCUGUUGUCACUCAGAGCAGCUGUAGGUCACAGGGCACAGGUCUGUGAAAGCAGGGGUGACCAGGCCUGUCUGCUCCUUGACAAACGGUCUGAACUGUGUGCUCAUGGUAGUGCUCGCCAUUUUUAUGUCCAGAAUCUUGUCAAGCUGACUUUUAGGGACCCUGGCCCUUCUGAUUCCUGUUACGUUGCCCCCUUGCCCCAGAAAAGGGCUUUCCUGAGAGAUGCUCUGCUCUUGCUUUGCUGUUUAAACAUCAGCCUCAUUUUGUGAUGGCUCUUGCUGAAGUUUGCAUGCUAUCUGAAAGUCUUAGCAAGUAUCCAAACCGAGGCUGCUUGGUGGAGCUGAACCCUAUUGCUGAUGCAAAUCUCUUUUCUGCUCUUUCCAGUGGCAAGCUUUAUUCUGACAGUGUGUUGUUACCUGUGGUUUACCCAAUGUUUCUUUCCUGCAGAGCUGUGUGCCUGUUAGCUUAAAUGCUCCUCAGUGAGGCUUUGUUGUUCUCCAGCUCAGAGCUGAGAGCUAUGGAAACUGACUGCAGACUGACCCUGUAUUGUGGUAGGAAGGGAGCACAGCUAAACUCUGAGGACAAAAGAAAAUGAAUGGAAGGUAUAUAGUGAGGUUCUUCUGUGAGCUGUUGAGCUCUUCCAAAUCGGGGAAGAAAAGGAUUAAAAGUGAGGAAUGUUAAAGACAAAUCGAAGCUGAUGUUUGAACUACCAGUCCAGGAAACUCCAGAUACAAACUGAAUGGUAAGUUUUCCACUGAAGUCCGUGAAGAAUUUUUAAAGACAAAUCUGAAUGGAGAGCAGCAAGGAUUUACAUCUUUGUGUACUGGAACGGAGUAAUUAUUGGCAGCUGGAAAAGAAAUUUCAGAUUCUAGGCAGUGGGGAAAAAAAAAAAAAAGCUGGUCCAGGUCAGAGACUGGAGCUGAGUAGAUUUAAAGCCUUUAAGGGGUAAAUCUAAUGGUUUGGACACAUAUAAUAUAACACAUUUGUGGAAAUGCUGAUAAGGGAAAUGAAGUGUAUUAGUUAGGGCUUAAAAAUAUAUAUACCUGCAUUUAGAUUUUUUGAGUACGUUUUCAGGCUGGAACAAUGUCUGAAAAUAUCUCAAAUGCAUUGCUUGCGCUUCAGGUUGUAGUCAUUUAACUUUUGAGUCGCAGGUUUUUUUGCUCUUUGUAAACCUCAGAGCACAUAUCCUGGUAGACUUGGUGUUAGGGCUGGACUUGUGUGUCCUGCAAGUGUUCCCCUCCUGCUGCAUUCCUUCCUGAACUUCUAAGGACCUCCACAAGUCUGGGUUCACUUCAGAUUAUCCUGAAAGAAAGGUGAAUGUAUGUGGCCGUCACCAGCAGGGUGAGGUCAUCUGCCUUAGCUUUCUAGGGUGAUUUUUAAUGUCUGAAUUUGGACCAAGACACCAAAAGAUACAUGCAGGGGAAGAAAGCUUCAUUUUAUUUCAGGCAGGAACAUCGACUUUUUUUGUUAAUUGUUUUCUAGGACUUAACCUAUAUAUGACCUCAUUCUGGGAAACAUGCUCAGAUAGAACAGUUUUCCAAAAAUCAUUUAAAAUAGAAUAAAAAAUCCAAAAUCAAAUUUGCAACCAGUUUUAAUAGUAACAUACGGAUUUUAGGCAUAGGCAAGUACUUGACAUUUUACUGAAAAUCAAAAAAGGAAGAGAAAAAGGAAAAUAAUAAUAUAUAUUUAUAAAAUAAGUGAUGCACAGUGCAAUGGUUGACUGACCUGAGCGGUGUCUGGCUCUCCUGUCCAGCUCCUCUCUCCACGGUGUCACAAAGUAUGACAUUUUCCUUUGGUCAGUUCUCCUGCCUCCUGGAGACACCCUCCCAGCUCCUUGUGUCCCCCAGUCCUGCAGCCUCCCUUGCUGGCAGGAGAGUAUGAGAACCUGACGUGUCCUUGGCUCCAUACAGCAACAGCUAGAACGUUAGUGUGUUAUCAACACUGUAUUUAUCCUAAAGCUAAAAUGUAGUAUCAUAUCAGACAGUGUGGAUAAAAAGUCAACCAGCUGAAACCAAGACAGUAGCAAUGAUACUAAAUGAUACAAAAAAAUAGGGUGAAGGAUGUGGGUGUCUGGACAGUUCUAGAAACAGGCCCAUGGAAAGACUUAACAGAAGCAAUCUGAGAAUGGCUUGGGUAGAGAGAAGGCUUGGGAAAUAAAGAAAACAUUCUCCAACAGGAAAAGCAGGAGGAGCUUAUGGAGGUGAUGUGCAGCUUCCUCAGUGAGGAGUCCCUACAGUGCUGUGCAAAAAAACUUCGCUGCUAUCGCUGUUCUGGUACAGCAACAGUUUGCCUUUCCUCUUUGGCACUCUGUCCAGAGAAAGCAAUCUAAGAUCCUUACCCAGAGAAUUAAAUCAAAUGUUUUCCUCAGUUUUCUGCAGGGCCCAGAGGGAGUGCUUGGGUCUGGCACACCAUGCCACCCCUUCUGCCUGCCCUGUGGCCAUGUGUCAGUGCAGGGUGCGUCCUUUGGUCGCACUGCAAUACACUGCCUCCAGGUAAAACUGAAAAUAAUAGAAGAGAAGGAUAUAGCAGUAACAGCUAAAUCUUUUUUGCAAUCCCAAACACAGGUACGGGUUGGGUGGAGAAUAGCCUGAGAGCAGCCCUGAGGAGAAGGAUUUGGGAGCGUCAAUUGAAAGCUUCAGUCUGAGCUGGCAAUGUGCACUUGCAACCCAGAAGGCCAAUCAUAUCCUGGGUCAUGUCAACAGAAGUGUGACAGCAGGUCAAGGAAGGGGAUUCUGCUCCUCUACUCUGCUCUUGUGAGACCCCAUCUGGAGUACUGUGUCCAAUUCUGGAGUCCCCAGCAUGAAAAGGAUAUGGAUCUGUUGGAGCAGGUCCAGAGGAGGGCCAUGAAGGUGAUAAGAGGGCUGGAGCACCUAGGGCAGGCUGAAAGAUGGGGAAUCUUCAGCCUGGAUAAAAGAAAGCUCUGGGAAAAUGUUAUAGCAGCCUUCUGGAACCUGAAGGGAGCCUACAGGAAAGUUGGGGAGGGAUUUUUAUAAGGGCAUGUAGUUACAGGACAAGGGAAAAUGGUUUUAAACUGGAAGAGGGUAGAUUUAGAUUAGAUAUCAGGAAUGAAUUCUUUACUGCAAGGGUGGUGAGAUGCUGGAACAAGUUGCCCUGUUUUCUAAUUCAGGACCAUGUUGCUGGAAAAGCAGAAGUGAUUUUUCUGCUUUAGAUCAAUGUGAAUGCUGCAUGCUGCUUAACCUCCUUGUUCGUUUAGGAUUCAGGCCAUAGUUAAGGCAGUCUGAAAUGUUUUUGCAGCUAGCUAGUCCAUGAAGUACAGCACAUUUGGCCUAUUUUUGGAGUUUUUUGUUUGAGGCAGAGAUGUUUUUGACAGUUGCAUAAUGGACAGGACUUUUUUUAAAAUCCUCCUUGUGCGCCAGCAUCUGGUUACUGCGAUCUCGCUGCUAAUCAGCCUGUAGGUUUCAGAAACUUUCCUUCUAUUUAUUUUAUUUUUUUGCCUGUCAUGAUCCCUGUUUUUGGAGGUGGGGAGAGGUGAGGCCUUCAAAACUGGCAGUAGCACAAAGCUGCUGUUUGCAUUUUUUUAGAGCUCUCUGGCCCCAAGCAGUACAGCUGACAUUUGCAUCUUGCAUUUUGCUGGCACUUUUCAAGUUAUUUUUGUCACCCUCUAAAUACCCUCUUUGCCCCCACUGUAUUCUAGAGGGUGUGUUAGAGAAGCAGCACCAAGGGACGAAGUGAUAUCAGACCAUCUUAGAUGGCUUUCUGUGGAAAGCAUUGGGACUCCGUGUCCCUUUGGUACAGGAAAGGAAAAUUUUUUUAUUUGAAUAAGGCUUCAGAGAAUUUCAAAUGCUAGAGCUUUGGGAGAGUCUAUUUCAUGUUUUCAUUUUGAUUAAAUUUAGAAUUGUUCAUUUUUUCUGUCAAAAUGUAUAUUUGUAGGCAAUGAAUUUGAUAUGCUGAGGAGAUGCAGAUCACUUCACUUUCUGUGAUCCUUACAAUGAAGGGUCAGGAGAAGGCAAGACUUGGUAGCUGGCGGUACAGGGAAGUCCUGGCUUGUCUGGCACUGCAAUAUUCCAUCCAUCUGCCCAGGAUUUCUGUCUGUGUUCGGCUCAGAUAAGCAAUGUGACUGUGUUGAUUUCUGUCUGUAUCAGAGGGGAUUGCACUGGGCAGGUAUUUUGUAUUGUGCAUUGCUGCUGGCUUGUUUUCUUUUCAGUUGCUCUUUCAGAAGAUCUGAGCUCAGGAUAAACAUCCACUCUGUGCUGCUGAGUACUGUGCUUGGAGCCUUCAUACUCAAGUGGAGUCACUCAGAGGAACAAGAUUGCUCUGUGAACAGACUCCUUCCUUCUGUGAGUAACAAGACCUCCGGAUGUGACUGCAGUGAUCCCAGCUGGCACAGAAACUGCUAUGAUGCUAAGAUGUGCAUUACUACGUGUUGGUUGGUACCAGCCUGCUACCUGCCUCCCAGCACAGAGCUGCAUAGCACAGCAAGCUGUAUGAGGCUCUCCUUCCUCAGCAGCCCUUGCUGGUGCUCCUAUGGUUUGGUGCUUGCGUGAGGAAGCGAGAGGAGUAUGAGGAGUGCUGCAUUCUGCUGGGUCACUGGUGCUGGGCGGAAACUCCAGCUCUAGAUGAGUGCAAGGCCUCAACUUUAUUUUUUAAUAUAUGUACAUCUAGGAAACAAAGAGCCACCACUACCACUGAUAACAACAGUCUGUACCAAGUGCUCUGCACCAGUCAUCUGACCACAGCCAAAGCCACAUUCAAAGCACGGCAGAGUCCCUGGAAGAGCUAACAUUGAUUUAACAAAGCGAUGCCAGAGGGAACAAGUUAGAAGAAAUGUUUCCAUGGCUGUCGGUUUCUUUUCUUUUCCUUUCUUUUUCCUACAUCUUCCUAUUACUUUUUUUCAUCUUCAAUUUGUACUUAAACCCUCCCAACCUUUCUGAGAGUCAGAAGAGUGGUUCUGAGAGUCAGGAGCCUCUCAGAAAAGGUCAGACAACCCAACUGCACAGUAUUCUGGUUUUCCCAUGGGCCUUCCACUAGUACUGGCACUCAGUCAAAGCAAACGUGUUCUAUCUGUCAGAAGCAAACUUUAAAGCUUGGUGAUGUGUCUAUAGCUUAAGGUACUUGUACUUUUUUAUGUAUACAGGUUUUAUAUCUCUCCCUUAAAUAUAAGCUGGCUUUCAUUUUCCUUUAUGAGCCUGAUCAUUUUUCUAUACUUUUCAAUGAGAAUUGCAUCGGGCUUCUCACUGCCUUUUACAGGGCAGCAUUGAUCUCUCUCCAUUUUGCAGGGAGCUGAAUGGAUGACUUUGUCUAACUAGAGGAGCUUAUCCUUAGUGUUUACAGUUCAUUUCAGGAUAUCUUUCAGUAUGACUGAUCUAUAAAUGCUAAUUGUGGGUGGGCUAGGUGUUAGGGGACCUGUGCAGUCUUGCAGUUUAUGUAUAGGCAAUAUAUUGCUCUUCCUAAGGUUAAUAACAACUGAUUUUUGUUGUAUUGCUCUUCUGAGAGAGUAACUCAAUUAUUAAUUUUUAGUUGUACACGCAGGCAGAAUCCUGUUUGUUUCACAAAAUGCAAAUAAAUGCUCUGAGGGCUAACUGCAGGAGUUUCUGCAUAAGCUACAGCUUAACUCCAUAGAACAUCACCCCAUAGCUCACCCAGGAACUGAGUGGGUCAUCAAACCCAGUGUGUGUUCUCAACCCCACCUUUCUAAAAGCACCUCAGCUUGCAGGAUGCCUUCUCCCAUGUGGUCUCAUGGUGUCUCAAGCUGCCCAAUCAGUGUGCUGCGUACCAUGGGGUUUUCAUGACCUUCCUCAUCUGUCUGCAUGUCCUCCCUUAAGUUAUAUGGAAGCUAAGAUGUGUUCUCUACUGGUGUCCUUGACAUGGGCUAAAAUGGAGGACAGAACCUCCUGAGAGUUUCUAAUUGUGUGGUGGUCUGACAACUCAAAUGAUUUUGGUGACUCAUAAGGAGGCACAAAGGCCACUUUUUUUUUUCUGACUGUGAAAAUCAGAUGGCAAAACCCAAUAAAUUAGGCCUGAAAGAACUGAAAAACCUCUCUUUAGUUACCUGGGAAGGCGAAAAGGAAGAGGAUCAAUGUAUUCACUACAAAAGAAUCACAAAGUUUCCUUUCUGUCCUGUCAUCCAUAGUGUCUUCAAAAACACUUCUUCCUGAGACAGAGCUUGAACUGGUUCUGUUUCAACUUCAGCCCUUUACACUAUUACAGCUAAUCCCCAGUGGAAAUAUUUCUUUUCCUUUCAUUACUUUUUGUGCAAAUAUUUAUACAGUUAUCUUGCUUGUUUCCUUUAAUUCGUAUCCCUUUAGACCAAAUAAAUCUAGUUCUUGUCAUCUUACUUUCAAGGUUGUAUUUUUAAGUAAUAAAGCAACGUUAAAUAUAGUUGGAAACAGACAACAUAAGGCACCUAAGAUUUCACAGUAAUUCAGGCUUUUGGAGACAAUAGUGUCCAUUUGAUUAAGACCAGCAAAACAGUGUUAUGAAUUAGUCCCUUGUCAGGAGUUUCUGAGCAUUUGAAAUAAUAACUGUUUUUUAAAAUGAUUUACGUGUAUGUGGUGUAAAAGCCUAUUUUUGAGAUCGUGUGUAAACUCUUCAACCUGUUUUAGCAGUAAUUACAGUGAGAACAUAGAUAUUUAAUUUCUAAACACUGAAUUAAUUUUAUCUUGUUUAAGCACCAUGCAAUAACUUGGAAACUCUUGUGACAUCUGACAAGGGACUUCACAGUGCCUGAUGGAACCUGUUGCGUGCUCCCUCACAUCCUGCUCUGGCAACGGUAACACCAUUCAUCCUCCAGCUAGUGGGGCUGGGAGGAAGUCCAGGUUUAUUGCUCUUUCCUGGGGGAACUGGAAGGUUCAGGAAAUUAUGGGAUUUAGAGAUUCUUAACUUCUGAGACAUUUGCUUCAACUGCUCGUAACUGAGAAAUUCAAUGUGCCGCAUUCAUAUUUCCAAUGGUUUGACCAGUCAUUUGAGCUUUGCAAACUCACGCUCUUGGCUCUAAGCCCUGGAUAUUUUAAAGCAGGCUCAUAAUGAGUGAUAGGAAGUUACCUUUUCCAGGUGACACUCUAGACACUUUUUGCCUAUGUACUUAGUUUAAAUUUACCAAGCAAGUAAGCAAUAAAAUAAGGUCCGUAGAGGUAUAUAAAACCAGAGUUGCUUGGAUUUACUGCCAAGAGAUGCAUGAUGAGUAUGAUUAAGAGGCACUUUAUGCUGACUUUCUAAUAAUUCUCUGCUAGAACAUGUACUUCAGACAGUUUUGUCAGCUUUAUUGUUACUUUCUAAUUUUGGUCUAAAGAUUUUUAUCAGAUACGAUUUUUCCCUUUAGGGAUUAUAGGAUGUGUAAAUUUUUGAUGAUGAGAGAGUUCCUGUGAUUCAUUCCAGGACUCCCGUGUUUAAGAUGAAGCUCCUCACCAGUGUCAGUAGGAAGUGUUGUUUUUUACUCACUCUGAAUUCUUUUCUUGAAUCUUCAAAUCUUCAGGUUUUUUUUAAUAUUAUUUAUCAUAUAGAAAAAAAAUCCUUUAUGUUUGAGACGAGGGGUCUGUAUCCUAGUGUGAAUAAAGGAAGUGUUAUUCUUCUCAUUAUUGGAAAGAAAUGGAGCUGAAUUCAUAUAAUUUUGCUCGUAUUACCACUGAGUUCAGACUGUGAUUGUGCUGAAAGAAUGUAGAAACUGAGGUCAUCUUUGGAAACCUACUGCCCCAAAAUUAAAUAUAUUAUGGUAUCUUCAUUUUCAUUAUGAAAAUUAUUUCAGUCUUAUCUUUUAAAAUAAGUAUUAAAAUUGUAUCCAUCUUAGCCAUGAGUCAAAUGUGUUUUGGACUUGACUCACUUGCCCAGCAUCAGUGUUACUGCUCUCAGUCUGUCUGGAUUCUUGCUUUGGUCCAAAAGGGCACUGGUGACUCAUAACUCCAGUGUCACACCAUCUGGACCUGCAUAGAUAGAACUACAUCAAACCACGCCUCUAAUGCCUAGGAGGACCUUGAAGAAAAAUAAAAUAGAAAACUAAACUUCGCCGUUUCUUGGGAACAGCAGGGUGAAAACUCAUCAAAUUUUUUUCUUGUAAAAUAUUUUGACUUUCCAGUAACAGCCUACAGAGACAACAUGAAUCUACGGGCUCAAUUCAGAUCCAUAAGCGCAGGUGUCCAGUUAUUUACUAGCAAUCCUGCCUGACUUCCUCAAUCCUAUCUGCUAACCUUGUAAGCACAUUUCUGGCUGCAUAAAUGCCCGCCCUUUGUCAAGAUGAAUCUAUAGGCUCUUUUGUCUGUGUCCUGGCUUUGGGGGAAGUUGCCCACUCAGCUAUCAGACAGAAGCACUUUGGUGUCCAGUGCAAAGAUGUGCUCAUGCAGUUCUCCUGGCUGCCGGAUACAACUCCAAAGGAUGAGAGUGUUGCAAAAAAAUGUUGUGCCAGGACAUCUGAGAUAUUUCUGCCUGGUAGCAGUCCAUUCCACCUUCAGAAAACUGUAUCUGGUAAGGGAUGGGACUCAUUUUACCUAACUGUAGAGAAGCUACAGUCUUCGCCAGUUUACAGUGGGAGUCUAGAUUCCUAGCUUAGAAAUAUAGGCACUUUGAAAUGGGUUUUGUGAUGAGGAGCUGUUUAGGAUGAGUGAGGUGAUGCUACCUGCUUCUUACUUGUGAUUGAAGAAGAAACCUAGGUGACUAAUUCAAAUUGCAGCCUUAGAGGGUAUAUCUACACGGGGUAAGGAAACCAUAAUGAGCCUGCAAGAGAGCACAAGGGCACAGCCAGGUAUGGCUUUAGUACACUACCACUACCAAAAUAGGAAUGCAGCCUUGUUGCUGUAUUCAGGUCCAAAGCCAUGCCUUGGGGGUGGCUGUGGCUAGGCUGUUGGCUGUAGGGCAGACAGCCCUUGGAAAACAGCACAGAAGGUAAACUCCAUUGCAACAGUCACCAUAUGGACCAAGCUAUGGAUCACCAAACUAUCCCAUCUUGUUUCAAAAAUGCACAUUAAUUCACUCAGUGGCUGUCAAAAAUUCUAUGAAGUUCAGUGUGGAUUUGCUUAAAUAUUUACCCUUUUUCUCAGUGUUUUUCUGUUUGCUUUGUUUUGUUUUGGUGGGACUUGCCAAAUUCCACGUUCUUGCUGCACUUUAGGAGUAUUUAUGAUCAUUAGCUCUAGAGUUAACAUGUCCUUUUCUGGGAGGGUUGUGCUAGGCCUGCAGUAGACAUACUUCCUUCUCAGGGAGCCUUCGUGUCUCUUUAGAAAUCCUCAGGUCAAACUGAAGACGCUCAUUUCCUCUUUGUGGCAAUAGAAAUUCCCCAGGGAAAGUCCCGGGGCACUUGCCCUGAGCUGUCAAACUAAAAACACAGCACUGCUUCCUCUGAGUACAUGAUGAACUUCAUAGUUGUGUGACUCAUUUUUCUAUUCCCUUUGUCUUCGCUUCAUUCUAUGAUAGUUAUAUAUAUAUGUGGACGUAUACAUACACAUACAUACUGUAAUUGGGAACGUGGAUGGGCUGUGCACCUACUUGUAUUUCAGAAAGCUAGAAUUAGGCUUUUGGUGUUAAAAUUGUAUCCAUGCCCUGAGUUGUGGUUCAGCUUUUCUUUCUCACUGUUUCCUUAGUAACCAUAGUUACUGCACCUUAAUUACUGUGAGCUUAUUUCUCUGAGAUUCCUUCUUUUACAAUUACUGGUGUAAUUUCUUACAAAUUCCAGCAGAACCCUCCCACAAUGAACACCCCAUCUCUUCCUCUGGCCUCGAUCCCUUUCCUGGCCUAACUGUUCCACCCGUAAAUAAAACCUGCCCCAGUUUGCUUUGUGAUUGGUUUCCCACCAAACAAAAUUGGUUAGUCACCAAUUUACCUGUACUCCUUUUGGUUGAUGAGAGCACCUGAUGCCACCUGUGUCUAAUCUAAAGAAAAUAACUAGUGCUCCUGGCUCCUGCUGAGUAUGGUGAUGCUCAGCAGUAAAGCUUAGAAGAUUGAUUAUCCUGAAUCAUUUUCACCAGCUACCAGAGCUGCUAGUAUUUUUUUUUUAAUAUAUACUUGCAGUGCCUCUCUUCUUAAAAAGUAUGCAAGGAUUUCAGGUCUUUGGCUAGCAGGGGAGCAUAAAUCAUCAUGGACACCGUGAUGCUGAUGAUUUGUAUUCUUGUAGCCCCUAUUCCAUAGUCCUGAACAGCUACAAAAUAAAAGGCAUUCCCUUGUCCUAGAUGAUAGAUAAUCUUGGCAUAGAAGAAGGAAAAUAGCAGAUGGAUAGAGAUGCAUGGGGGAAUACAGUCGGUCUGGGUCAGGAUGGUGCCUGUCUAACUGCAGUUGAAUUUUUGAGGCUUUAUGACUGGAUCAUUUCAAAGGAGAGAUACAACAUAAAGAUGACUGUUAUUGUGCUAUCAUAAAAGAAAAGGAGGAACAUUUUGUAAUAUAUCUAAUAAGUAAUGAAAGUCUUUCCUUUUUUGCGUGAUACCUGUUUACACUGCGGACUUCUACAUGAAUAAAUCACUGCUGUAGUUGUCACAAUCCAAACCAGUGCACUGCCAUAAAAACAAAAGCUAGACCACGACACUUUAUUAUUAUUAUUGUUAUUAAUUUUGAUAUAGAACAUGGCUGUCAAAAAUGUUCUGGCUAGGUGAGCAGAAUCCAGUUUAAGAUUGAUGCCUUAGUGCAGGUGCCUAUAGCUCUUCCUACUGUUGCAUAUUCCCAUUUCAGUGAGCAUAGAGGGCAUUGGCUGAACAGCCAUCAGCUGUCUGAACAGCCAUCAGCUGUCUGCUAUGCAGUGAGUCCAAUCAUUCUUAGGCUCCCUGAGCUGCAUUAGUUGGGUUGUCACUGAGUAUAACAGAGCUUGUUGGUUAGAUUUCCCACUAAGUUCUUGGAACUUGGAGGCACAGCCUAAAUUUCCAACAUGUGCCAUCCUUUUGCCAUCUUUUAAGUGCUCUGCUCAAAUGUAUCUGCUCAAUCUGAAGUCUCCAGGUUGGCCAAUAGAUCAUGCUUUUUAGAUGUAGGUUUACUGUAAGACUGGUAUCAUAUCUUGCUAUACUGAACAUCUCUGAUUCCUCUGAAUACCACAGACGUCACCAGACAUCAGAGUUAGGGUGACUAAUUCAGUUGUCCUUGUUCUUCAAUGCUUAAGAAGCCUGCUCAGAUCCUGCCAACAUGAUGUACGUCUUCAUGUUGGUAAUCUCAAAAGCUGGUAUAUGAGCAGUGGCUAAAGGAUAACUUGGUAACUAUCUCUUUCCUAGUGUUGGAGGAAUGCUCAGCCUAGAUCUGUACAGUGGUAGCAUCCCAUUAGGGACAAAGAAUUUGAUGUGGGAGUGAAAGAAAGCUAGUAGGCAGAGAUCCUACACAGCAUGUUCUCAGUCAAACACUUUAGGUUGCCAUGGCUUUUACUACAAUCCACUGUCAGUGCUGUAUUCUUAUUUUGAAUGUCUUGUCAUGCACAUCACAUGAACUGAUCGCUGUCUCUGCACUCUGUACCAGUGACUCAGCUCAGCAGGGAGCAGAUACAGCAGGAGCUACUCAUCAGGUAACUGUGAGUGGCAUCACUGCUACAGGGAUGCAGUAUGCUUUCUGCAGACUGGAUGCAAACCUUCCCCUGACACCAGGCAAACCCACGAGCUGCCAGACUCUGUGGUUUGUGCCCUCAUGACAGGGCUGUGGUGUUGAUGUGCCUUUCACUUGCUGUAGUAUUGCACAGGCCGGGUGCACCUCACGGAUCUAUGGUGACAUCUAACAAGCACACAAGGGCAACCUUAGGGCCAGGAAACUAACAGAUCCAUGCUUUGGUCCUGCAUCUUGUGCAUACAGCCCACUGAGGUGAAGACACACUAUUUUCUCAGUGUUACCGAUCUCAUCUACCCUUCUUCACUCUCUAUGCUCACUUUCCACUUUAUUUUGUUGCAUUUUGCAUUUAGUUUUGUGGAUAGACAAUGGUGCUGGGCUCAUGCACGCUAUCUGACUUGCACCAGUGCUAACACGAGCUGAUCUGAAGUGAAUUACUCAAGGUCAGGGAUUUAGCUUGCAUCCUAUGGUUUUGUACACGGGGCUGUACAAUAAGUCCUUGACUGGGACAAGCAACUUGCUUUAAUACAAGAGAAAAAGACAUUUAUUUGCAAGGAGAGCAAGACUGAUGCUGCUGUUCUGAAAAGCAGGCAUAAGGAAGGAUGUAAAUUUUUGUUCAUGUCUAAACUGUAUGAUUUUCUCUAUAUUGUUAUAUUGAUUAGCUUUGCUAGCCUUCUCCAUUCUCAGAGGAGAUAAAUGCUUGCAGUAAAAGAAUUCUUGGUUAUUUCAGGAUACACCUCUUUUACAAAUGAAAAGAAGUGUUAGAGAAUGAAGCAGCAGCACUGCAUCAGUGUAUGAAACUGUGUUACGUGCAGAAACAUCCACAGAGGACCAGAACUGUCUGUGUUGGUUUGUUGCCAUGCAGAGAAGCCACAAUUAUAUGAAUCUAUUAUUUUACUGAAGUGGAAAUAGGAAUACUUUUCAACCAAAGAUUACAAAGAUUGCUUUUAAAUUUCAGUUUUUAAAAGGAUAUUAGCUAUUAAGAGAUGUAUUGGAUAGUGUCCCCUUAGUUUUGAGUAUAGCUUGCAAAAAUAAAAAUUUAAUGGCUCCUCAUGGCAGGCUGUAUUUAGACUUUGAGGUGGUUUUGUGCUCACUCAGAAAGUCAGUACAAAGCUUUGAUUUUUUUUAAAGUGCAGGGCUGCAGUGAUUCUACAUGAAUUCCUUUCCAUACUACACCUGUUUUACAGAGCAGACCACUUGUGAGGUUUCUAACAUAUACAUAAUUCAGGGGGGAAGGGAAGAUUUUGAUACUAUUUGUCUAGCAGCUUUACUAAAAUUUACUCAGAAUUGUGUUCCCAGGAAAGCACAAUUUUAACCACGUGAAAGGUUGAAAGAGCUUACUAAUCCUAAGAGAAAGAAACUACAGAAACAUGUCAAAUCUAGUUGUUGUAAUUGGAGGUAUUACAGAAAACAGAAUGUCAUUUUCUUCCAAAGAAUCAGUCUCCAUUCAUUUACAGGAAGUGUAAAAGGUUAUGAAACUUCCCUGAAAGUAUACAAAUACAUUGCAUGAGGAACACCUUAAAGUUUGUGAAACAAAGGCAGCAUUCUUAGACUAUGCCAUAUCUGGCACUUCUUGUAAAAGACCGCUUGGAGUGAUUGCUCCAAGGUGGAGCAAGCUGGUUUGGAUGAAGUUGAGCUUCUCCACAAUGGCCCCGUAUGGUGCUGUGUUCUGAAUUUGUAGCUGAAACACACCAAUGGCUGCUGCUAAGCAGUGCUUUCACAGCAUCCAAACUCUCUCCUUUUUCCACUCGGCCCCCAUGGGAAGCAAGUGGGCAGGAGAGUGGGAGGGCAACACAGCUGGGACAGCAGAUCCAAAUGGACCAAAGUGAUAUGCCACACUGUAAGGCAUCAUGCUCAGCAAGAAAAGCUGAGGUAGGAGAAGAAGGGGUGGGCCAAUGUUCAGAGACUGGCAGGACAUCGGUCUGCCUGUGCAGUCUCCCAUGUUUCACUUCCUUUAUUCUCUUCCUUUACUGAUUAGAUUUUAUCUGACACCACAGGCUCUGUCCCCUUUGUUCUUCCUAUGUUCUCCUUCCAUCCUGCUAGAGGAGAGGAAUGAGCAAGCAGCCCACCAUGGUCCUUUUUGGUGCCCAGCAUGGGACUUGAGAGGUUUAAGACAAGGAGAGAUUUGAUUGAAUGGUACCUCCUCCUUCUCCUCUGGGACAGAAGUUGCCAGCCUUGAGCAAUUACUCUUUAGGUUCUUGGGCAUCCCUGCACAAGGGCUGUCAUACCAGUGUAGGCCAUGAACAUGACUUUGUCUUUUCUUAAGGGUAAUCAACUAGCAGGGAAUAUGGCACAGGAAUCUGCUCACCCAGAAGACAGGUGAUAAAGAGGGAAAGACGAUCUGGACUCUGUACUGGAUCCGGCUGGGAUGGAGUUAAUUUUCUUCAUAGCAGCCUAUGUGGCGCAGUGCUCUGGGUCUGUGACUAAAGCAGUGCUGGUAGCACACCAAAACCAUAUAGCAACUGGUGUGCCAACACAGUCUGACAUCAAAGUGCCAUCACGUCUCCAAAGAACUAUCUCCAAAGGACUGAACCAAAACCAAUGGAAAUUCAGGACCAUCUUUAAGCAUACAUCAGUGUGUUCCAGGCUCCUGGUAGGGCCCUGUUUAGUGAUAUUUUUCACCAGCUUCUUGUGCCAUCUUGCAAUUUACAGACGUAACCUGAAGAGUUCUCUUUUGCUUUGGGAUUCCAGUAGUUGUGCUAAUACUUUAUUAUCAGGUGUGUAAUAUAACUUCUUACUUAAGGAACUGGUGCACUUGGGUCACUACUGCUAGAAAUGGACUUUAUGCUUUGUUUUGCAGUUUGUGCUGUUCUUUUGCAGCUAUAUAAACCUGUAGGUAAUAACAUCACAGUUAGCUUACAAUAAUUUAUGCUUGGAUGAAGCCCUGAAGCUCUACUGCUAUAAACAAAAUCCCACAGUUAGCUGUAUUUUGAAUUUACUAGCCAUCUCAGACAGAUAUACUAACUCUGGAAGCCUGGAAGAGUAAUCAGUAAUCAGCAAGUACAUUACAUUCUCAAUUAAUUCACUGCUGCAGGUCCUAUGAAGGGCUUGUUUCUGCCUAUGUUUAAAUGAUGCUUCCUUUUUUUUUAACAAUGCAUUUUGUAAAACCAGUAUAGAGUCUAUCUGGCAGCAAUUCAUUUCAUUCACUUUUAAGUCUGUUAGCUUAGCCAUCUUGUUUUCCUAAACUUCUCCAAUGGUUAAAGAAGCAAGGACCUUUUCUUUGUCAUUUUUCACUUCUUCACUUUAUCUUAUAGUAGAAGACAGUGAGAACUGACAGUAAACCUGUAGAGCAAAUCAGUCAGUGCUGAGGACCUGGCCUUUUGAACAUGAACAUUUUGGAGAUCUUUUUCGUCUUGAGACUAGCCCUAGUCCACUCCUAUGGACUGAAUGCCCACUGCACCUGCAGUGCAUUAUGUGCACUCCUGCACUUUAUCUUCCAGGUUGUUUUAUCUAAAAAAAUUAAGCUAAUGUGCUUUGAGACUCUGUGAAUCAUAAUGUGAACCAAAGCCCAGUAGGUGGAAGGACUGGGAAGUUAGUGGUAAAAGCACUCUUCUGAUCCAGACUAAUGCACUAAUAGAGACACACCCUUGAAGAAAGAGACACUUCUUCAGGCCUAAAUUUAAAUGUUUAUAUUAGGAUUAAGUGAAUCAUGACCUAACAGUUCCAGUUUUCUGCAGGGGACUCUGAGCAAGUAGUUAGAGGCACAGAAGCUGAAGAUGUCUGAUGUUGCACAGGAAGCUGACAUCCUUCUGCAUCUCAGACAGAUGACAGAGAUGUAGUUGUCAUGCUUUUUGCUGUUGGUUUUUUUUGUUGUUGGUGGUGGUGGUUUUUUUUUGUUUUUUAGUUAAAUUGAAUCACUUCUCAUUUUCCAUCAUUUUCAUACCCAGUAUGCUAAUCAUGAUUUCUUUCACAAGUUUUAUUCAUUUCCUGAUGUUUUCUUCCUGGCUCAAAACGUCUCACAAACACGUCAGCCAUCACUAGCUUUCACCUCACCAUCUGAGCGCCAACCUCAUUAAAUCUCAGGACUGCAUAAAGGAAUACUGAAAGAAGGUUUAAAUCAUAUAUUGGUGGAUAACUGACAGCACUGAGAACCUGUGGUCUAUGAACAUACCAAAUUAUCAAGCUGCUUAAAUAAGUAAUGAAUACUGCUCACACUAUCUGCAACAAGCAUUCCUUUGUAAUGUAGAUGAAAGAACACACCAAAGCCAUGAUACUGGAGCUGUGUCUGCUCAAAAAACACUGCUGAGGGUGAUUUCUCCUACUCUACAUUUUUAGUCCUAAAACUAUGCUGUGGGAUUUGUUUUCCAUUUGUGUGUUUGUUUGCUUUUUGCAUGCUCUCAGAACUACAGGUUAUUUUACAGCUGUAGGCCAGCUAUGAGUUGUGCUACAGGGUGACACGUUUCAUGGAAAUUUAAUGCAAAUAGUAAUCAUUCUCAUCAGGAGCAGAAACAGGAGAUCUCUCACAUUUCUUGCAUCUGCAGACACCUGCAUGAGAGUGAACUCCGCGAGAGUGAACUGCUCAUGUUGAGCCAGCUCCCUUACAAAACAUCCAGCACAAUGGAUGUUUUUUACAACCAACAAACUCAAAAUUAAUGCUCUUGUAUGCCUGGAAACCUUUAUUUCAUUUUCAUACUGAAAGAGAGAAACAUUUCCUCUGAAGAAUGUACUAAUGCAUAAAAACAUGCAGCAUAUUCUUUUAACAUGUGUUCGUUCCAAUGUUUACUUUAUCUCCUGAUCUUAACCUGUAGCUUCCCAUUACAAAGAACCAUUGCAUAAAACACCACAAACAAAAAAUGCCACCAUUUUAAUGUUCUGCAAGUGUGCUACAAGUAAACUGUACUGUACUGAAUUGGAUCAAAAUACUCCCUGCAUUUUGAGCACACUACCACCAAUAUAUUGCUGGGCCACUUUGCCACAUGCAGAAGGACAAUGCUGUGCUUAUUGACUCAUCUCUUUAUUCUGAACAGAGGGAACUCGCUUGGAUGCCAAUGGUCCAUUCAGCCCAGCCAAACACUCAUUUAAAAAACAGUGAUGUCUUUUCCAAGCACACCAGAGGCUGCCUGUACUGUACAGAGGCUGCAAGGUGGGUUCAAGCUGUACUAUGGGGUGUUACAAAGCUAAGCAAGCUAAUUUUGAAAUAUUGCACACACUUACUAUAUUCAGAUGAUAUUAGUUACUGCACCAGACUCCUUGAGUGAAUAUUCCUUAGGAUUACUUGUUAAGGCAUAACUCAGCUUGUCCAUAUCAGAAGAGUUUUCUAUACUUUGUUCACUCUUCAGUGUCACCUGCAGUAGUAUUACAGCUCUUCAACUUGCAACCUCUCAUGCUCCAUUCAGGUGACAAGAACACUUAAUGCAUGGGUGGCACUGAGCAGAUAAAGGGCUAGAGGGCUUUUACAGGCUCUACUAAAGUGCUUUCUUCAGACUAGAAGUGCACAAUACCAUGGUGAUAAGGCUGUCCUGUGCUGAUCUAAGGAAGCCUGUGAUAAGGAAUAUAAUAGGAGCAAUAAGAUAAAGAAAAAUCUUUCAUUCCAUAAACUGUGUAUCUGCGUAUACCAACUGCCUACAGAGUGUUUUCUGAAGGUCAUGUUUGCAAAGUGUUGCAUGCUCCAGCUCCAUCUUAAAUGGUUUCAUGCCACAAGGUGUGGGCCACUUAUUGCUUGUCACUCCAAAGCCAUUGAACUCUUCAGCUGUGCAGUCUGCUCCCUCCAGCCUUCCCACUGAGAAUAAACAAUUGGCAGGGAUAGGGAGAAGGGGACAUCCAAGAAUGACAGGAAGGGCCAACACAGAAAAAAGCCAUGCCCUAUACAGCAAAGGAUUGAGCUGGUGUUUUAGUGCUAUGCACAAUAGUUUAACUAUGUGAAUUAGCCCACACAGCUGUAAAAAUCACUGGGCCCAUGAUAAGAAAAUGAAAGACAGUAUUGUUGAUGGUUUCUGGUUUUGCUUGUUUGCUGUUAUAUCUCACUCUCUGUAUAUCUGCCUUAAUCUGUGAAGGAUCAGCAACCAAUAAAAACUGCAUUUCUGA